GCCUUUCAAAUAGGUUCCCUCCCUGGAUUCAUCUGAGUGGAAGAUAAGAGCCUCUCGAGACACUCCGUGCACAGCAUUGCCCCAAUACAAGGUAGAAUAGUCACUGGGAAACCACACAGUCCAUCAGAAGUUACUGGAGAACAGCAGAGGGCAUGGGGUGUGCAGAUCAGAAGGAGAAGGUUUGGAGCUUACAACAUACUCUCAGAGGAGUCCAUAUGCACUCUCUCAACAUCAAGAACACUGCACUAGCCUAUGAAUCCCUCAGAAAAAGAGGGUGAUUCCUGGCACUCUUGAAAGCACAAACGAUUAAUCAAAUCACUGGGGACAAGCAGCAGUAAUGUGAUCGUCAAAACUAUGGAUAUUGGUAAUUGUGUUUCGUUCUCAUGUAAAGUGUGUGUGUGUGUGUGUGUGUGUACUGAGAGGUGAUCAGUGUG